AAGAAGGCUUUCGGGUUGUAAAGCACUUUCAGUGGGGAAGAAAGCCUGGCGGUUAAUACCCGUCAGGGACGACAUCACCCACAGAAGAAGCACCGGCUAACUCCGUGCCAGCAGCCGCGGUAAUACGGAGGGUGCGAGCGUUAAUCGGAAUUACUGGGCGUAAAGCGCGCGUAGGCGGCUUGAUAAGCCGGGUGUGAAAGCCCUGGGCUCAACCUGGGAACGGCAUCCGGAACUGUCAAGCUAGAGUGCAGGAGAGGAAGGUAGAAUUCCCGGUGUAGCGGUGAAAUGCGUAGAGAUCGGGAGGAAUACCAGUGGCGAAGGCGGCCUUCUGGACUGACACUGACGCUGAGGUGCGAAAGCGUGGGUAGCAAACAGGAUUAGAUACCCUGGUAGGACACGCCGUAAACGAUGUCGACUAGCCGUUGGGCUCCUCGCGAGCUUAGUGGCGCAGUUAACGCGAUAAGUCGACCGCCUGGGGAGUACGGCCGCAAGGUUAAAACUCAAAUGAAUUGACGGGGGCCCGCACAAGCGGUGGAGCAUGUGGUUUAAUUCGAUGCAACGCGAAGAACCUUACCUACCCUUGACAUCCUCGG
rnacentral:rRNA from 1 species